UACAGAGGGUGCGAGCGUUUGUCCGGAAUCACUGGGCGUAAAGGGCGCGUAGGUGGCGACCCAAGUCGAUGGUGAAAGCUCGCCGCUCAACGGCGAGUCGGCCACCGAUACUGGGUUGCUGGAGCACUGUAGAGGCAGAUGGAAUUCCGGGUGUAGCGGUGGAAUGCGUAGAGAUCCGGAAGAACGACCGGUGGCGAAGGCGGCCCGCUGGGCAGGAAGGCUCGCAAGAGCCGGCUGACGCUGAGGCGCGACAGCGGUGGGGAGCAAACAGG
rnacentral:rRNA from 1 species